AGAGCAUCAACAGAAUAGGGAAGGGGGAAAAUUAUCUCUAAAAGCUUAUGCAUCAUUCUCUUAAAAUGUUAAUGUCCCAUUUCCAGCUGAACAAAUAAGCCUCUACUACUUGGAUGCAACUAGUCCUAAUGAAUGUGAGUGCCAGGCUCAAAAAUAACCCGCUUUUGAUUGCAGAAAGCAUCUUUCACAAGGAAAAAAAAAUUAAGUCAUUAUUUAAAAAUUGUUCCAUUAGUGUACCAUGAACAAAGGACAGUGAGCUUGAAAAAAUGAAACAGCUUUUAUUUUUGAGCACUUUAUUUUCAGUGGGAUUAUAAACAAGAUUCUCAUGAAACUCUUCAAACACAACAUGAGGAUGAAAUAUUGAGUUGCUUUGGUCCGCUUAUUGUCUGCCAGAAUUGGUUUUGUUUUGCUUCCUUAAUUCAGUUGCAAGUUGUUUUCUUGUUGUUGAGUAGGGGAAAUGAAGGGGCAUCUGGAUACUCUUCUGCUCUACCGGUUGCAAUACGAAGAGGAGUUAAAGCAACUAGAAGGAGGUGUCAGUAACCAAGCUAAGAGAGGCUGGAAGAAAAACUAUUCAUGCAGCAGCAAAGAAGGCCUUUUGAGCAUUGUGAUGUCAGAAGGUGACUUGGAAGAUUAUCUAAAUAUUAAUCUGGCAGUGUGGUGUAUUUCCAGAAUUAAGGUGGAGACAGCAGGUGUCACCCAAAGAAUGGAAGGAUAGUGCCAUUGACUUAAAGAGGGAGACCCCAUUUUGGUGAGUAGAUGAUGUUUUUGGUUUUAAGCAUGUGGUAACAGUAAGAUAUUCCCACUGAAUGUGUCCAGUGGGCAACUAGAGACAAGGAACAGGAACUCAGUAAUUAACGAGGGUUUGCUUUGAUUGAAGAUGGGGCUGGAAAUGUAAAUUUAGGAGUCAUUAGCAUAGAAGUGAUGUGUAAAGCCAUGAGAAUGGAUGAGCUCUCCCAGGAUGUGUUAAAGGAAUACAAAAAACUAGCCAGGCGAGGUGGCGGGCGCCUGUAGUCCCAGCUACUCGGGAGGCUGAGGCAGGAGAAUGGCAUGAACUCAGGAGGCGGAGCUUCCAGUGAGCUGAGAUCCGGCCACUGCACUCCAGCCUGGGCGACAGAGCGAGACUCUGUCUCAAAGAAAAAAAAAAAAAAAAGGAAGAGACGUCUGGCUUUGGGAAGGCCUACUGCUGAGGGCAAGAGGAAACAAGAGAAUCAGUAAUGGAAACAAAGAGGAAAAGAGAUGCAGAGUUGAAGGUAGGAGAAAGUGAGUGAGACACAGGGCCAAGGUCAGAGCCAAGGUCAGGCAGAUUCAUCUGCUAUGUCCUUGAAGCUGAGCAGUCAGAGAAAACAGACAUGAAGAGUCUACAACUGAUUGGGUGAUACAUUCUUUCAAAGACAUUGCAAAAAUUUAAGAGAGUAAUAAGGAGUUCCAUGAAAGACUCACUGCUUUGUAUAUAAAUAUGCUAUUUCUCUUUCUUUCUGCCUGAUAUUUUAUACACAUUUCAGUGGGAAUACAGUGUUACAUAAUGUAAAGGGAGUUAGGGAAAACUCUGCUGUCAGGCUCAAACUCAGAGUGAACUGCUCUGAGUCUGUUUUAUUAUCAGUAAGAUAAGGAUAUUAAUACCUGCUUUAUACAGUUGUUUUGAAAAUUAAGUAAAAUAAUUUGCAUAAAACACUAGUAUCAUGCCUGACAUAGUUAUACAAAUUGGCUUAUAUAUGACCAUAUUCAUAAAAAUUUAUGUGCAGAUAUAUAGCAACAAAAUACAAGUUGUCGUUUUUACCAAGGCUGCUGGAAAUAAGUGAGACUUGAAAUAAUUAGGGGAGUGGGGAUGUUACCAAGGGAGUCCUUGAGGACAAAAUUGGGCCAGAAGUCUUACACUUUCCUUUAUAAAGAAAACUAAUUUAAAAUUCAUAGGCUAUUUAAUUUAAGGCUUAAGAAAAUGCUACGAUCAGUGUUCAGGAAUAUGUUGGAUUAGAAAAAGCAUUGUCGUGUAUUUUUAUGGUAGUAAGAAAUUGCACACAAUGGAGGUAUACAUCAACCGGAAGUAUUAGAUAAAUUCUAAUACAUUCAUAAAGUAAAACACUAUGUCAUGUAAAGAUUAAAUUUUUUAAAGAAACAAACUUUUCAGGGCUAUGUACAAGGUGAUUCUGUUUAGAAGAUUUGAUAGAUAAGUACUUCCAAUUUUUUUCCUUGCUUUGUUUCUUUCUUCCUUUCUUCCUCCCUUCUUUCCUUUCUUUCUUCUCCUUUGAUUUCCUCUUUUUACUUUCUGCCUUUUUUCCAUUAAAAAAGAAUGUGUUAUGUUUAUAAUAAAAUAAACA
rnacentral:lncRNA from 1 species